GGGACCGCCACGCGCAGCGCGGGAGGGGGAGGGCGGGACCGGGGAACAGGAGGGGAGGGGGACCCGGGUGCUUCCAGCGGUCCGGGCCCGCGGACGGAGUGCGGGCCGAUCCCGCUCACUGUCCCCUUCCGCAGUCCGCGUGCAGCUCCAGGGAGCUGUCCGCCCCGGUGGUUCUGAACCAGGCGCCGCCGAAACGCUCCAGGAGCACCCAGGGAGCAAGAGAAGCCCUGCGACAGCAGCAAGGGACACUGUGGGGCUGCAGGGACACCAGGUCAUCCGCAUGCACGUGGAAGCUUCAGAAACACAGAGUUAAACUUCGCGUAGUGGAACGGCGAGUGGUGUUCUUCUGGGUUGCCUUUGCUAGUUUGCAUGUUUUCCAACUGUCCAUGACGUCUCCACAUCAAACGCCCUCCUGAAUAGUGGCUCUCAGCUGAAUAAUUGGUCGUCUAAUGCCUAAGUUGUUAAACAAAACAAACUUUGAAAGUCAGCUUUUUUUUUUUACAAGCCUUAGCUCACAGUGGCCUUUUGCUUCCUGCUGUUUUUCUUACGUAUCCGGGCUGUUCUGUUCUGUUUCUGCGUGGCCUUUGCCUUGUAUCCACCAUUGGUAUAGCGUGGUGAUAUGCUUUCUUUCUUUGAAUUUGCUUUAAUUUUUAAUAUUAUAUAUAUGGUACCUGAGAUAUUUUGAUACAAGGAUACAAUGUGUAAUAACCACAUCAAGGUAAAUGGGGUUCCAUCACCUCAAGAAUUUAUCCUUUCUUUGUGUUACAAACGUUCCAAUUAUACUCUUUUAGUUCUUUUAAAAUGUACAAUAAAUUAUUGUUGACUGUAGUA
rnacentral:lncRNA from 1 species